rnacentral:rRNA from 1 species
GACGAACGCUGGCGGCGUGCUUAACACAUGCAAGUCGAACGGUGAAAGCGGAGCUUGCUCCGCUGGAUCAGUGGCGAACGGGUGAGUAACACGUGGGCAACCUGCCCCUCACUUCGGGAUAACUCCGGGAAACCGGGGCUAAUACCGGAUAUGCCCUCCUUGGGCAUCCUUGGAGGGGGAAAGUUUUUCGGUGAGGGAUGGGCCCGCGGCCUAUCAGCUGGUUGGUGGGGUAGUGGCUCACCAAGGCGACGACGGGUAGCCGGCCUGAGAGGGCGACCGGCCACACUGGGACUGAGACACGGCCCAGACUCCUACGGGAGGCAGCAGUGGGGAAUAUUGCGCAAUGGGCGAAAGCCUGACGCAGCAACGCCGCGUGCGGGAUGACGGCCUUCGGGUUGUAAACCUCUUUUAGCAGGGAAGAAGCGAAAGUGACGGUACCUGCAGAAAAAGCACCGGCUAACUACGUGCCAGCCGCCGCAGUAA